rnacentral:rRNA from 1 species
AAUUUAAAAAUUUGAGGUAGUAAAAAAUAAAUAAACCCAUAAAGCUUGGCAGUUAUACUUUUUUAGAGAAACUUGUUUUAUAAUCGACAACACUCGAUAAAUUUAACUAAAAUUUAUACAGCCUAUAUACCGCCGUUACAGAAAUUAUAAAGAAUACAUUUCCAUUAAAAAUACUUUAAAAAAUCAGGUCAAGGUAUAGCCAACAUUUUAGUAAAAAUUAGUUACACAUAAAACCAAUUUAAGGAAAUUUAGUUAAAAAUCACUUUCAAAAAGAAUCUAUACACAAUAAGUUAAAAUUAAAAUUUAAUAAUGAUAAAUUAAAUUAUAAUGC